AUUUGAUUUAGGAUUGAUUAGGAUUUGAUUUAGGAUUAGAAUUUGAUUAAGAUUUGAUUUAGGUUUAAGAUUUGGUUAAGGAUUUAGGAUUUGGUUAAGAUUUGAUUAAGGGUUAGGAUUUGGUUUAGGAUUUAGAAUUUGGUUAGGGCUUGAUUUAGGAUUAGGAUUUGGUUAGGAUUUGAUUUAGGAUUUAGAGUUUGAUUUAGAAUUGAUUAAGAUUUGAUUUAGGAUUUAAGAUUUGAUUAAGAUUCGAUUUAGGAUUUUAGAUUUGGUUUAAGAUUUAGAGUUUGGUUUAGGAUUUAGGAUUUGAUUUAAGGUUUAAGGUUUAGUUAGGAUUUGAUUUAAGAUUUUGGGUUUCAUUAGGAUUUGAUUUAGGAUUAGGAUUUGAUUAAGGUUUUAUUUAGGAUUAGGAUUUGAUUAGGAUUUGAUUUAGGAUUAAGAUUUGAUUAGGAUUUGGUUUAGGAUUUAAGAUUUGGAUUAGGAUUUAAGGUUUAGUUAGGAUUUGAUUAAGAUUUGAUUUAGGAUUUGAUUAGGAUUUGAUUUAGGAUAUAAGAUUUUAUUAGGAUUUAUUUAGGAUUUAAGAUUUAGUUAGUUUUUGACCUAAAGUUUGAAUGAAAUCCAAUAGGAUUUUAACUAGGAUUAAAUUAAGAUUAAAUUCAGAUGUAUUUGAGAUAUAUUUGUAAUCAUUUUAAUAUUUCUUUAAGAUUUCUUAUUGUUUCUUUGUAAUUCAUUUGAGGUUUCUUUGAAUUUGAUUAAAGCUUGCUUAACAUUAUAUUAAUCUAAUUAGAUUUUAAUUAAUAUUCUAUUAGAGUUAGGAUUUUGUUGUUAUAAUUUCUAUUUUAUCUUCCAUAGCCAGGUAUCCAUAACAUUCUUAAGGAAGACUUCACAUAUUACGAUACCACAGCAUAUCUUCUAAGGUCCGAUUUAUAUGCUCUAUUUGCCCAUUUGUUUGGAGAUGGAAGACUAUAGACAUAGCAAGUC
rnacentral:lncRNA from 1 species